CUCGUAGUUGGAUCUCGGUGCCGGUCUGGCGGUCCGCCUCGCCGCGGUCUCACUGCCAGUCCCGGAGCCAUCCCGCCGGCCUUCCCUCGGUGCUCUUUACCGAGUGUCUUGGGUGACCGGAACGUUUACUUUGAACAAAUUAGAGUGCUCCAAGCAGGCGCGUCCCGCCCGCAUAGCCCAGCAUGGAAUAAUGGAAUAGGACCUCGGUUCUAUUUUGUUGGUUUUCGGAACCCGAGGUAAUGAUUAAUAGGGACAGACGGGGGCAUUCGUAUUGCGACGCUAGAGGUGAAAUUCUUGGACCGUCGCAAGACGAACUACUGCGAAAGCAUUUGCCAAGAAUGUUUUCAUUAAUCAAGAACGAAAGUUAGAGGUUCGAAGGCGAUCAGAUACCGCCCUAGUUCUAACCAUAAACGAUGCCGACCAGCGAUCCGCCGGAGUUCCUCCGAUGACUCGGCGGGCAGCUUCCGGGAAACCAAAGUGUUUGGGUUCCGGGGGAAGUAUGGUUGCAAAGCUGAAACUUA
rnacentral:rRNA from 1 species